CCUACGGGAGGCAGCAGUGGGGAAUAUUGGACAAUGGGCGAAAGCCUGAUCCAGCAAUGCCGCGUGAGUGAUGAAGGCCUUAGGGUUGUAAAGCUCUUUUACCAGGGAUGAUAAUGACAGUACCUGGAGAAUAAGCUCCGGCUAACUCCGUGCCAGCAGCCGCGGUAAUACGGAGGGAGCUAGCGUUGUUCGGAAUUACUGGGCGUAAAGCGUACGUAGGCGGUUAUUCAAGUCAGAGGUGAAAGCCUGGAGCUCAACUCCAGAACUGCCUUUGAAACUAGGUAGCUAGAAUCACGGAGAGGUUAGUGGAAUUCCGAGUGUAGAGGUGAAAUUCGUAGAUAUUCGGAAGAACACCAGUGGCGAAAGGCGACUAACUGGACGUGUAUUGACGCUGAGGUACGAAAGCGUGGGGAGCAAACAGGAUUAGAUACCCUGGUAGUCCACGCCGUAAAACGAUGAUAACUAGCUGUUCGGUCUCUACGAGACUGAGUGGCGCGAGCUAACGACAUUAAGUUAAUUCCGUCCGUCGGGUAGGUACGGUCGGCGAAGAAGUUAAAACUUAAAAGGUAAAGUUAGUACGGACGUGAGACGUAGCCGAACGGACGACGACGAGGGAGGUAGGG
rnacentral:rRNA from 1 species